rnacentral:rRNA from 1 species
UAAGGAAUAUUGGUCAAUGCCCGGAAGGGUGAACCAGCCAUCCCGCGUGAAGGAUGAAGGGGCUCUGCCUUGUAAACUUCUUUUGUAUGGGGCGAAAAAAGGGGAUUUAUCCUCGACUGACGGUACCAUAAGAAUAAGCACCGGCUAACUCCGUGCCAGCAGCCGCGGUAAUACGGAGGGUGCGAACGUUAUCCGGAAUCACUGGGUUUAAAGGGUGCGUAGGCUGUUUAAUAAGUCAGUGGUGAAAGGCCGUCGCUUAACGAUGGGACUGCCAUUGAUACUGUUAGACUUGAAUCAGGUUGAGGUUGGCGGAAUGUGGCAUGUAGCGGUGAAAUGCAUAGAUAUGCCAUGGAAUACCGAUUGCGAAGGCAGCUGACUGGACCUUGAUUGACGCUGAGGCACGAAAGCGUGGGUAGCGAACA